rnacentral:rRNA from 1 species
GACGAACGCUGGCGGCGUGCUUAACACAUGCAAGUGGAGCGACGAACCGGGGCUUGCCCCGGGGCAGAGCCGCGAACGGGUGAGUAACACGUGGGUAACCUACCCCGAUGACCGGGACAACCCGAGGAAACUCGGGCUAAUACCGGAUGUUCUCUGUUUUCGUAAGGGAACCGAGCAAAGAUAGCUUCGGCCUUCGCAUCGGGACGGGCCCGCGGCCCAUUAGCUUGUUGGUGGGGUAACGGCCUACCAAGGCUGCGAUGGGUAGCUGGUCUGAGAGGACGAUCAGCCACACUGGGACUGAGACACGGCCCAGACUCCUACGGGAGGCAGCAGUGGGGAAUCUUGCGCAAUGCGCGAAAGCGUGACGCAGCAACGCCGCGUGGGGGAAGAAGGCCUUCGGGUUGUAAACCCCUUUCAGUUGGGACGAAGCUUCGUCGGUUAAUAGCCGGCUGGAGUGACGGUACCUUCAGAAGAAGCCCCGGCUAACUACGUGCCAGCAGCCGCGGUAAUAC